GCCUGGAUGGCUCAGUUGGUUGAGCGUCUGACUUUGGCUCAGGUCAUGAUCUUGUCGUCUGUGGGUUCCAGCCCUGUGUCAGGCU
rnacentral:tRNA from 1 species